rnacentral:rRNA from 1 species
CAAUAGCGUAUAUUAAAGCUGUUGCGGUUAAAAAGCUCGUAGUUGGAUUUCUGUCAAGGACAACUGGUCCGCCCUCCGGGUGAGCACAUAGUUUGGUCUUGGCAUCUUGUUCAAAACUGUUACUGCGCUUGGUUGUGUGGUGCAGUUUUGGGCACUUUCACUUUGAGGAAAUUGGAGUGUUUCAAGCAGGCACAUGCCUUUGGACACAGUAGCAUGGAAUAAUUAGAUUGGGCUUUUGCUCCAACCUGUCGGUUCCUGGAGCUGAGGUGAGAAUCAAUGGGGAUUGUUGGGGGCAUCUGAAUUUAGCCGUCAGAGGUGAAAUUCUUGGAUCUGCUAAAGACGGACAACUGCGAAAGCGUUUGCCCAGGAUGUUUUCAUUGA